ACACUUCCUUAGCUAGGAGCUAGCAAUGCUACGUGGAAUUGCAUGUCGAAAAUAUUUAAAAAGUCAACCUGCCAUCUCUCCUGCCCUGCUCGUCCAAGUUCCCACUCUAGUUCCAGUACUGGCAGGCUUCACCACUAUAUCCCAGCAGGGUCCUGCUUGGCAUGUUCUCCCAGGUAUCUUCUGAGAGGUUGUUCUCUCUCCACUUCUCAUUCAAGUCUGAAGAUGCUUACAGUCACCUGCAGUACUUCUAAAUCAGAGUUUUGAGAUGGAAGAGGUCACAGCUCCAAUGAUCUCAGCCGAAGAAGAUGAGGAAGAAGACCAGCACAAGUGGUAAGAAUCAGAGUCUCUCUCAAAUCAGCUUUUGCUGGUAUCAGGAUUUCUCUGGAGGACUCAACAAAGUCCUCUCCAUGCCUGAGAUUCCUACAAUGAUUGAAAUUCCAUUGUUUCUUCCCCGUGGAAUAACCAUAAGCUUCCUGAGGGAGUGCACCUCAGAGAGGCCUCGCCUGGGACUUGAAACAUCCAGCCCACUGUACGCUGUGGCAUUUGGACAGGUUCUUGCCUCGAGUUCCUGCUCUGCCUUCAUUUCACUAUACCUAGAAGCUGAAAUAAACUAUUUCCUCCACAA
rnacentral:lncRNA from 1 species